rnacentral:rRNA from 1 species
CCUACGGGCGGCAGCAGUGAGGAAUAUUGGUCAAUGGGCGAGAGCCUGAACCAGCCAAGCCGCGUGAGGGAUGACGGCCCUAUGGGUUGUAAACCUCUUUUGUCAGGGAAUAAAGCCCGCGACGUGUCGCGGUCUGUGUGUACCUGAUGAAUAAGCAUCGGCUAACUCCGUGCCAGCAGCCGCGGUAAUACGGAGGAUGCGAGCGUUAUCCGGAUUUAUUGGGUUUAAAGGGUGCGUAGGCGGUCCGUUAAGUCAGCGGUAAAAUCGCGGGGCUCAACCCCGCCGAGCCGUUGAAACUGGCAGACUUGAGUAUGCGAGGAGUACGCGGAAUGCGCGGUGUAGCGGUGAAAUGCAUAGAGAUCGCGCAGAACUCCGAUUGCGAAGGCAGCGUACCGGCGCCAGACUGACGCUGAGGCACGAAAGCGUGGGUAUCGAACAGGAUUAGAUACCCCUGUAGUC